CUUCUUACCUUCUUGCACCUAGAAAAGAAACUGACUGAAUAGAUAUCACUCAAGGAAAAAUAUCCACAGAGACCACUGAAUUCAUUGCCCAAAUCCCUUGUUCAAUUUCAAUCAUUCUCUGUGGCUGGUUGUUUGAAUAAAUUUGGGUGCUUGAGGAGAUUAGGAGCUGCGAGUAGAUUUGGUGCUUCGAGUAGAUUGCCUUUGGGUUGCUUAUUUUCUGUUGAAGAACUUGAUUGGAGGUAGAAAUAGUGGGAGUGGUUCCAGUUUUCCUGAAUUAUCUUAAGGUGCUAGUAUAUGAAGUCUUACCUUGUAUGAAGUGCAAGCUUGAUUGUGUUUCCUUUGGCCACUAUUUUGUGCUGAUGUAGAUAGACUACUAUUCCAGGAGAUGUACUUCUAUUUUGCUGUGUAAAUGUUGUAUAUCUAGUAGAGGUAUAAACCUGGAGAGUUGGUACUGAAUUGUGGUGGAGUUGUUUUAAAAACAAGUUCUUUAUUUUGAAUGAAUAUACACUCCUUAUCUUA